ensembl:lncRNA
AUCAUCAUCACCAUCACCAUCAACCUCGACAUCAUAAUCAUGCUCCACCUCACCCUCCUCCUCAUCACCAUCAUCAUCAUCAUGAUUAUCUUCCUCCAUGCGAUCAUACUCCUCCUCCUUCUCUUCAGCCUCAUCAUCAGCCUCAUCAUCGUCUUCAAUGCUGUGGUUCCUGGCGUUCCUAUCAUAGUGAAUCCAUCCUCAUCCUCACACACUGAGAGGUCUCCACCAGGUCUCCUAGCGUGGUGAACACACCGAGAGGUCUCCACCAGGUCUCCUAGCGCGGUGAACACACUGAGAGGUCUCCACCAGGUCUCCUAGCGCGGUGAACACACCGAGAGGUCUUCACCAGGUCUCCUAGCGCGGUGAACACCAUGCUAGGACUACUACUACUAAAGCACUAGCACCAGGGCUAGCUCCCUAGCCCUGGUGCUAGUGGAAAGCUGGAAUGCUGGUUUCCUCUCAGGAGGCUGAGCCUCCUAAC